CCAAGGAGUCUAGCGUGUGCGCGAGUCAUUGGGAUAACACUAAACCUAAAGGCGCAAUGAAAGUAAAGGUUCGUCUAGCGCGAACCGAGGGAAGACGGUCGGUCCACCGUGGCCGUCCCGCAUUCCCGGGGCGUCUCAUUCUCAUUGCGAGAAGAGGCGCACCAAGAGCGUACACGCUGGGACCCGAAAGAUGGUGAACUAUGCCUGGUCAGGACGAAGUCAGGGGAAACCCUGAUGGAGGUCCGUAGCGAUUCUGACGUGCAAAUCGAUCGUCGGAACUGGGUAUAGGGGCGAAAGACUAAUCGAACCAUC
rnacentral:rRNA from 1 species